UUAUCAGAGGUGGACUGCACGGC
rnacentral:miRNA from 1 species